rnacentral:rRNA from 1 species
UCNUACGGGAGGCAGCAGUGGGGAAUAUUGCACAAUGGGCGCAAGCCUGAUGCAGCAACGCCGCGUGAGGGAUGACGGCCUUCGGGUUGUAAACCUCUUUUAGUAGGGAAGAAGCGAAAGUGACGGUACCUGCAGAAAAAGCACCGGCUAACUACGUGCCAGCAGCCGCGGUAAUACGUAGGGUGCGAGCGUUGUCCGGAAUUAUUGGGCGUAAAGAGCUCGUAGGCGGUCUGUCGCGUCUGCUGUGAAAACCCGAGGCUCAACCUCGGGCCUGCAGUGGGUACGGGCAGACUAGAGUGCGGUAGGGGAGAAUGGAAUUCCUGGUGUAGCGGUGGAAUGCGCAGAUAUCAGGAGGAACACCGAUGGCGAAGGCAGUUCUCUGGGCCGUAACUGACGCUGAGGAGCGAAAGCGUGGGGAGCGAACAGGAUUAGAUACCCUGGUAGUCCACGCCGUAAACGUUGGGCGCUAGAUGUGGGGACCAUUCCACGGUUUCCGUGUCCCAGCUAACGCAUUAAGCGCCCCGCCUGGGGAGUACGGCCGCAAGGCUAAAACUCAAANGAAUUGACGGGGGCCCGCACAAGCGGCGGAGCAUGCGGAUUAAUUCGAUGCAACGCGAAGAACCUUACCAAGGCUUGACAUAUACGAGAACGGGCUAGAAAUAGUCAACUCUUUGGACACUCGUAAACAGGUGGUGCAUGGUUGUCGUCAGCUCGUGUCGUGAGAUGUUGGGUUAAGUCCCGCAACGAGCGCAACCCUCGUUCUAUGUUGCCAGCACGUAAUGGUGGGAACUCAUAGGAGACUGCCGGGGUCAACUCGGAGGAAGGUGGGGAUGACGUCAAAUCAUCAUGCCCCUUAUGUCUUGGGCUUCACGCAUGCUACAAUGGCCGGUACAAAGGGCUGCAAUACCGCAAGGUGGAGCGAAUCCCAAAAAGCCGGUCUCAGUUCGGAUUGAGGUCUGCAACUCGACCUCAUGAAGUCGGAGUCGCUAGUAAUCGCAGAUCAGCAACGCUGCGGUGAAUACGUUCCCGGGCCUUGUACACACCGCCCGUCAAGUCAUGAAAGUCGGUAACACCCGAAGCCGGUGGCCUAACCCUUGUGGAAGGAGCCGUCGAAGGUGGGAUCGGUGAUUANGACUAANUCGUAACAAGGUAACCGUC